UAUGGCUCAGGACGAGCGCUGGCGGCAUGCCUAACACAUGCAAGUCGAACGGGGGUAGCAAUACCCUAGUGGCGAACGAGUGAGUAACACAUAAGCAAUCUGCCCUUCACAGGGGGAUAACAGCGGGAAACUGCUGCUAAUACCGCAUAAGACCACGGUACCGCAUGGUACAGGGGUAAAAACGAAUCAGUGGUGAAGGAUGAGCUUAUGUCCCAUUAGCUAGUUGGUGAGAUAACAGCCCACCAAGGCGACGAUGGGUAGCCGACCUGAGAGGGUGAUCGGCCACACUGGAACUGAGACACGGUCCAGACUCCUACGGGAGGCAGCAGUGGGGAAUAUUGGGCAAUGGAGGAAAAACCUCUUACCCAGCAAUGCCGCGUGAGUGAAGAAGGUCUUCGGAUUGUAAAGCUCUUUGAUUGGGGACGAAGAAAGUGACGGUACCCAAAGAACAACGCCCCGGCUAACUACGUGCCAGCAGCCGC
rnacentral:rRNA from 1 species